rnacentral:rRNA from 1 species
GAACGCUAGCGGCAGGCUUAACACAUGCAAGUCGGAGGGGGUAUUGGUUUCGGACCAAGAGACCGGCGCACGGGUGCGGUAACGCGUAUGCGAUCUACCUUUGCAGAGGGAUAGCCCAGAGAAAUUUGGAUUAAUACCUCAUAGUAUGUGAGGAUGGCAUCAUUUUCACAUUAAAGUCACAACGGCAAAAGAUGAGCAUGCGUCCCAUUAGCUAGUUGGUAAGGUAACGGCUUACCAAGGCUACGAUGGGUAGGGGUCCUGAGAGGGAGAUCCCCCACACUGGUACUGAGACACGGACCAGACUCCUACGGGAGGCAGCAGUGAGGAAUAUUGGACAAUGGGCGCAAGCCUGAUCCAGCCAUGCCGCGUGCAGGAUGACGGUCCUAUGGAUUGUAAACUGCUUUUGUACAGGAAGAAACACUACUUCGUGAAGUAGCUUGACGGUACUGUAAGAAUAAGGAUCGGCUAACUCCGUG